UACGUAGGGUGCGAGCGUUGUCCGGAAUUAUUGGGCGUAAAGAGCUCGUAGGCGGUGUGUCACGUCGGCCGUGAAAACCUGCAGCUUAACUGUGGGAGUGCGGUCGAUACGGGCAUCACUGGAGUUCGGCAGGGGAGACUGGAAUUCCUGGUGUAGCGGUGAAAUGCGCAGAUAUCAGGAGGAACACCGGUGGCGAAGGCGGGUCUCUGGGCCGAUACUGACGCUGAGGAGCGAAAGCGUGGGGAGCAAACAGG
rnacentral:rRNA from 1 species